rnacentral:rRNA from 1 species
CGGAGGAUGCAAGCGUUGUCCGGAUUCAUUGGGUUUAAAGGGUGCGUAGGCGGAGAAUUAAGUCAGUGGUGAAAGCUUGCAGCUUAACCGUGAAAAUGCCAUUGAAACUGAUUUUCUUGAGUUCGAUUGAGGUAGAUGGAAUGUAUCAUGUAGCGGUGAAAUGCUUAGAUAUGAUACAGAACACCAAUUGCGAAGGCAGUCUACUAAGUCGAUACUGACGCUGAGGCACGAAAGCAUGGGGAGCAAACAAGAUUAGAUACCCUGGUAGUCCAUGCCCUAAACGUUGAUUACUCGUUGUUGGCGAUACACUGUCAGCGACUAAGCGAAAGCGUUAAGUAAUCCACCUGGGGAGUACGAUCGCAAGGUUG